rnacentral:misc_RNA from 1 species
GGAGUUAAUUUUUUUAUUAAUAAAAUAAAAGCAACAUAAGAUCUUGGCUUCCUAGAAACUUAGGCUUACAAAGACGCCGCCAGCCACAUCCAUGAAAGGGAUUAGAACCAACUUACAACGCCAGCAUCCUAGGAGCACCCAAAGACGCCCAUCUAAGCUCAGGACCUCCCUAAAAGCAGAGUCCUCCCAUCAAUCUCCACCCACGCAAGCCCUGCUCAAACCAUGAAAAAAGAAUGCUGCCAUAGAGCUCUUCGACCUUUAAUGGCCAUUAGGACAACCUUUCCAGCCAUGGUGUAGAAGCAAAUUCUAGAGAUACAAGAUAGCUACAGCAAAAGAUGUCCUCUUAGCUACAGAAAGAGGUGUCCCCUUUCCACGACGAGCACCUUCUGAGACCAAGUACCAAGCACAACUGGCAUCCUUCAAACUACAACCAACAAGCUUGUCGGCAAGCAUAAAAACCAAACCCAGGAAGCCAGAGAACCAAACCAAUGAACAUACCAUCGCUUUCUCAGCAAAUACUUUCAAAACACCCUCACCUAAGGAGACCUAGAUCUGUAUGAAAACUCACAAAACACAAAACUAUAAAUCUAAACUGAGAAGGGGAGGGGACCCUAACUCAGCCAGAUCCCACUCCUUUCCCUGUCCCGAAGGAUAGGGGAGAGCUACCAGGGAACUAUUCUGCUUUUUUUCGAAAGAGAACGAC